CUGGUCGAUCUUCAAGUCUUUCCGAGUCGAUCACCAAACAUUUCUGUAGAAAAGCCAAAGGCUUUUGCGCUCGUAUUUGUAUGCUAUUCGUGUUGCGCUGUUGGAUUCUGCACUUGAUUCAGAAGCCCUGCACACCGGGUAUGGCAAAGUGUUCCCAUCUUAAACCAUUUAAUUUGUCUGCGAAGACUAAUUCUGCCUGCAGGCGGACGGAGAGAUCUGUGGCUAAAUCGAGUUCGCCUACUGUGCUAGCCAAUCGGAUAGCUCAAGUCACCGUUCCUACAGUUUCCAAUACCUCCGCCACAGAAAAGUUUGAUACUAGACCAGAAACUCACUAUAGAAACUCAUGUCAUGUGGUGUUCGGAUGGACAGUGACCAGGAAGGUGGUGUUGAAGAGAGGGAAAAUCUCAGCAAGAAGUGGAGGCAGAGGAUGAAGAAGCUAAGAAUAUUCAGAGACUAUUUGCUGUCUAUCAUAGGAGGACUAUGAUCUAAACCUUCAGAGUUUGCUGUAGAGAAUGGUGUGGAGAGGAGGGAGAGGAUUGUUAAGGACCUGAAGCAGAUGUCCCAGAAGGAGAGAAUUAGCUGCUGGGGAAGGAAUCACCAGAGCUAUCGGAGCUCAUUCAGGACGUGAAGUCCAAGAGCUGAACGAUGAGCUACAGGCCCUUUUGGAAAUGGUCAAAGAUGGACGCAUCCCACCGGGAAAGGGUGCCAACUACCUCAAGACUAAACAGCAGCUUUAUCUAAAUUAAGUAUAUAUUUGAUUUGCAACAUAAAUUGCAUAAACAAUGCCAUUGAGAAUGGACUCACUUAUUGUUGUUUCUCUCCUGAGUUACUGCACAAACAUCAGUUUCUACCUCAUCCUGAAGGCAAAGCAUAUUCCCGCACACAACCACCCAGUGAUUGAAAGACUGCUUAUCUACAGGAAUCUGAUAAAUGACAUGGGUGAGGUAGAUGCUUGGCUUGCCCCACAGCUGCGCCAGUUGCUCUCUGCAGGCCAGAAUGAGAUGGCUGCUAUGAAGCCAGGGACUAGCAAGAUCACCAACCACAAGACCCAUGCGCCGAUACUGUGUGAGAGGGAUAUCACACUCAUCGCAAUAUCUGAAGUGCUGCUCUUGGCAAUGUAAGUUUGGAGUCUACAUCUAAGCUGGAUUGGUACCUAUGUUGUCAGAUGUCUGAAGAGGCUGGGUCUGAACCAUCAUACUCUGACUUGGAUGAAGAGGCUGCCCUGCACUUCUACAGAGGAAUGGAGAGGCUGAAACUGAAUAGGACCUACAGGCUGAGAUGAAGAGUUGGAUCCAGAUACUAAGAGAUGCAUUACCCACCAGUUACAGUGUCUCACCCUCUUGAGUAUUGUCCUUUAAACAUUUAGAAAUUAGUCACACACACAAGUAUACAGCAGUAAUUAUUUAUUGUACAGCUUAGCCUUCAUUUACCAUAUUUACUUGUUACCAUGUCUCUUGUUUCCAUACUCAUUGUACAAAGCACAAUAUUAAAACAUUUUCACCCAGUACUUCAAAUCAUGAUUCAUCAGAUUAUUAGAGUACUUUAUAUGUUAGAGUAUUCCCUUCCCGGUUUUGUACAUGCU